rnacentral:rRNA from 1 species
UACAGAGGUGCCGAGCGUUAGGCGGAAUCACUGGGCUUAAAGCGUGUGUAGGCGGGUUCGUAAGUACCUUGUGAAAUCCCAUGGCUCAACCAUGGAACUGCUUGGUAUACUGCGAAUCUUGAGCCACUUAGGGGCUACCGGAACAAAUGGUGGAGCGGUGAAAUGCGUAGAUAUCAUUUGGAACGCCAAUGGUGAAAACAGGUAGCUGGGAGUGUGCUGACGCUGAGACACGAAAGCCAGGGGAGCAAACGGG